GACUGCUCCUGUGGCCUAGUGGUUAGAGUGUCCGUCCCAGAUGCGGGAGGUCGUGGGUUCGAUCCCUGGCUGAGUCA